UCAAAAUAACUGUCAUGAAAUUUAAAGAAAAUUUUGUGCAAAACAAAAAAUACAUGUUUAAUGUUUUUGUUGCAUAAAAGAUAUUGAAGUUAACUGUUUUGUUGGAAUCAGUGUACGCAUGAAGUACAUAUUCUUAUAGUUUCGCGAAGGAAGGCGGGAUUACUGGUGUAUUUUUCAGAUUCCCCAGCACUGGUGGGCGAACACGGGCAUAGCCGGGGGUUGGGAUUUGCUAACAACUGCCCGAACGUCUCCAAAGGAGACUUAACACAUGAAGAGAGGCUGUUUGGCGAAUGCAUCUACUAUCGAGCUGAAAUCGCGAUCCGCUGAGAAGUUCCGGCGAGAAACUCAGCGAGUUGAUAAAAUAUAUGUUGUGGGUUCCGGUUCGGGUAUAUUACCAAGAUCCCUAUAUCUUCUGCUCUGAUAAUGUAGCGUAAUUGAAAGGAUUUGUCAAACAAAACAAUGAGAACGAAUGAUGUGCGGUGGCAAUCAAGCAAUCAGUAAACAAUCAAGAUCAAGUGGUAUAUGAGUCCGUUUAUCUCAUUAAAAAACAGAUAUGUAAAAACUGAGGUCAUUCACAAAACAUUGGCUAAUUCUUUUAAUUUUUCAUGCUUAAAACAAAUUUUAAAUCAUUGGAUCUAUAAAAUUGUGCAAUAAAUUAAAUACAAUUUAUUCAUUUAAAAUUAAAAUUUAAAAGAAAAAUGAUAA